UGCUGAACUACCUUUUGGACAAUCUCGCCGGUGCUAUAAAACGCACUGAGCAACCGCCGCCCAGGUCAUGGCUUGUACUGCAGGAGCCGGAGAGAGUCACACCUGCAGCCAUGUUCUCAGUAAUGUGCUACAACGUACUGUGCGAUAAGUACGCCACACGCCAGC